AGGCGGUGCUGGAGGCAAAGCUAGUUUUACUGACAUAGAGAAUAGAAAAAAAAAUCAUCAUAGCUUUAACUAGUCCAAGAGAAUAUACUAAAAAAAAAACGAGUUGACAGCGUCACUGACAAGAGAAAUUAAAGUAUUUAAAAUGUGCAUCUGUAAAAUAAAUAUUAAUUAAACCGGUUGAAGGAAAAUAUUUAAAAAGUGAUGACAAAAGAAUCAGAAAGAAGAAGCGUAUCUGACUCGGAGCUGGGCUCGGUGCGGUCGGACCGCGCCAGCAAGCUCGGGGCAAUCCUCUGUCCUACCGUCUGCGCACUCCUGCUGGUGUGCAUAUUCGCUGUCUCCUUCAUCGGUACCAAGCUGGCGUACGACCAGUAUGACAGUUUCUGCACCGGCCGUCGCUUUGAUAUCGCCAAGUUGUAUAUCAUCCCUAAUAUUACCAUCAAGCCGCGAGCGCAUUAAUGUUUUUAGUUUGGCUUAAUGUAUUAAAUAUUGAAAAUUG